GCUGACAUUGACAAGUGACAACAGAGGCAAAUGACGUUGACAGCUCGACCGUUUGUCUUUUUUUGGCCUGUAGCGAAGGGAGAAUUGUUCGACAAAGCUUGGGUCCACUUGUUUUGCUCUUAUAGCAACUGAUGCAUAAAAAGCAUCUUAUAUGAAUUUGCAAGAAGCCUCAUCAAAUUCUACAAACAAUGAAGUUGUAUUAAAUGCCGAUGAAGCCUAUACUGAAACAAUUAUCAUUGAAGUGGUUUCUGACCCAGAAGAAACAACAAACGAGAGUAUUGAAGAAAUUACUGAUGAAGAAAAGCAAUCGACUACAAAGCAAACACGUAAACUAAGAACCUCAAAAAGAACAAAAAAUUGCAAAAACAAAAGUUGCAACUUCAAAUGUAAAAAUGUCAAAUUAUUAAGUAAAUAUUCCAAAACCUGUGACAAAAAAUUGGGACAACAGUCUAAAGAGGAAAUAAAGAAACCCAAUCCUUGGUACAAAUGUUGCAUAUGCAACACGAUCUUAAGAAAACAAGGCAGUAUGGACAGUCAUUCCAGAAUCCAUGCCAGGGAAGAGGGAGAACUCUAUCUCAAAGUAAAAUUUAUGAAGUACGUUGAAGGAGUGUUUCAAAAAUUUAUUGUCAGGUACGCUGACCCGUUAUACAAACCACCACCAAGCAAUAGGAACCCAAAUACAGUUUUAAAUGAUGGAUUAAACUAUGACCCAAACAAACCUGUAUUUAAGUGUGAUAAGUGUAAUUAUAAGACUAAUCACACCGAAGAUCUGAAUAAGCAUAAAAAGCUACACUACUGGAACCCAGAAAAGCAUAAAAACUUUGAAACAAAUACAUGGUUUACAUGCAAUAUUUGUUAUUUUUAUAGUUUAGAUAAGGAGAGGUAUAUGAAACAUUUCCAUACCCAUAAGGAGGAAAAUUAUACCUAAAUGUUACAUAUGUAGUAUUUAUUGAUAUAAUUAAAAUAUAUGACAA